GUGCCAGCCGCCGCGGUAAUUCCAGCUCCAAUAGCGUAUAUUAAAGUUGUUGCAGUUAAAAAGCUCGUAGUUGAACCUUGGGCCUGGCUGGCCGGUCCGCCUCACCGCGUGUACUGGUCCGGCCGGGCCUUUCCUUCUGGGGAACCUCAUGCCCUUCACUGGGCGUGUUGGGGAACCAGGACUUUUACUUUGAAAAAAUUAGAGUGUUCAAAGCAGGCCUUUGCUCGAAUACAUUAGCAUGGAAUAAUAGAAUAGGACGUGUGGUUCUAUUUUGUUGGUUUCUAGGACCGCCGUAAUGAUUAAUAGGGAUAGUCGGGGGCAUCAGUAUUCAAUCGUCAGAGGUGAAAUUCUUGGAUUGAUUGAAGACUAACUACUGCGAAAGCAUUUGCCAAGGAUGUUUUCAUUAAUCAGUGAACGAAAGUUAGGGGAUCGAAGACGAUCAGAUACCGUCGUAGUCUUAACCAUAAACUAUGCCGACUAGGGAUCGGACGGUGUUAUUCAUGACCCGUUCGGCACCUUACGAGAAAUCAAAGUGCUUGGGCUCCAGGGGGAGUAUGGUCGCAAGGCUGAAACUUAAAGAAAUUGACGGAAGGGCACCACCAGGGGUGGAAGCCUGCGGCUUAAUUUGACUCAACACGGGGAAACUCACCAGGUCCAGACACAAUAAGGAUUGACAGAUUGAGAGCUCUUUCUUGAUUUUGUGGGUGGGUGGUGCAUGA
rnacentral:rRNA from 1 species